UCAUUUACGCAGGAUAAGUCAUCAACUGCCGAGCUGAGAAGUUCGUGACGAAUCGAAUUUACUGUAAGUUCGCUCAUCUCUAGUAAUAAUCAAUAUAACUCAAUAUCCACAUUGAUAAGUCAUUUCUUUGCAUGUAGAUGAUAUCUGUUUGUGAAAUGUUGCGCAAAAGUGAACUAAGACACGUACUGUACUGCAAAGAAAAAAAGAUUGCCCUUAAAGGGGUACUCCGGUGGAAAUUAAUUAAAUUUUUUUUUUUAAUCAACGGGUGCCAGAAAAUGAAACAGAUUUGUAAAUUACUUCUAUUAAAAAAUCUUUACCCUUCCAGUACUUUUUAGCAGCUGUAUGCUACAGAGGAAAUUCUUUUCUAAUUUCAUUUUUGUCUUGUCCACAGUGCUCUCUGCUGACACCUCUGUCCGAGUCAGGAACUGUCCAGAGCAGCAUAGGUUUGCUAUGGGGAUUUUCUCCUGCUCUGGACAGUUCCUGAUACGGGCAUCAGGUGUCAGCAGAGAGCUCUGUGGACAAGACAAUAAAGAAAUUCAAAAAGAAAAGAAUUUCCUCUGUUCCAUACAGCUUCUAAUAAGUACUGGAAGGGUAAUGAUUUUUUUUAAUUUUAAUAGAAGUAAUUUACAAAUCGGAUUAACUUUCUGGCACCAGUUCAUUUAAAAAAAAAAGUUUUCCACCGGAGUCCCCCUUUAAGGGCCAGAGUGCUGCCUAAAGUGCUGUAUGCUGCCAAGGAAGACUAAGACAAUCACAUAGAUCAGUGGUCCACAGGUUGAAGACCACUGACAUAGAUUGCCUAUUUUUCAUGCAGCAAUGUGGAUGGGUUGUAGUCUUCCUUGGCAGUAAUAACUCGGGGGUCACAGCCGCUGGGUUCCAGUGAACAUGAGGGGGUCUUUGUAGUAUCAUUCUUGACAGUAAACCUUACACAAGAAUCCAAUGACAAUGGGAAACGUGAUCAUUUUAGGAAAUACACCAAACCAGCUUUUUGUUUUAUCACUUGAUUAUAUUUAUUUAAAAAAAAAAAAUUAGUAAUUGUUACGUUAUGUUAAUUGUGUGAAGUUGUGUUCUGUUAUGUACAUGGUAACGUAUCGCUAGUUAUGGCUAUUAAAUGGUUUUUAAGCGUUA